UACGUAGGGUGCGAGCGUUGUCCGGAAUUACUGGGCGUAAAGAGCUCGUAGGUGGUUUGUCGCGUUGUCCGUGAAAACUCACAGCUUAACUGUGGGCGUGCGGGCGAUACGGGCAGACUGGAGUACUGCAGGGGAGACUGGAAUUCCUGGUGUAGCGGUGGAAUGCGCAGAUAUCAGGAGGAACACCGGUGGCGAAAGCGACUUCCUGGACCAGAACUGACGAUCAGGCACGAAAGCGUGGGGAGCAAACAGG
rnacentral:rRNA from 1 species